AGCGAACGCUGGCGGCAGGCUUAACACAUGCAAGUCGAGCGGGCGUAGCAAUACGUCAGCGGCAGACGGGUGAGUAACGCGUGGGAACGUACCUUUUGGUUCGGAACAACACAGGGAAACUUGCGCUAAUACCGGAUAAGCCCUUACGGGGAAAGAUUUAUCGCCGAAAGAUCGGCCCGCGUCUGAUUAGCUAGUUGGUGAGGUAACGGCUCACCAAGGCGACGAUCAGUAGCUGGUCUGAGAGGAUGAUCAGCCACAUUGGGACUGAGACACGGCCCAAACUCCUACGGGAGGCAGCAGUGGGGAAUAUUGGACAAUGGGGGCAACCCUGAUCCAGCCAUGCCGCGUGAGUGAUGAAGGCCCUAGGGUUGUAAAGCUCUUUUGUGCGGGAAGAUAAUGACGGUACCGCAAGAAUAAGCCCCGGCUAACUUCGUG
rnacentral:rRNA from 1 species